rnacentral:lncRNA from 1 species
GUCCGCCCAACGGCCGCGUGUCCCUGCUAACGGUCGGUGGCAAGAGCGCUCUGCUUCUUGUGCUCCCUGCUGCGUUGGUCGCUGGCUCUGAGUUCAACACAAUGAAAUGUGAGACAGGAAGAGAAAAGAAGCUUGAAGGAAUGUGAUAGCAACAAGGUAAUUGUUACAUUACUAAUAAACCUUGUGCUACUUAAGGGGUGAGGGAGAC